rnacentral:rRNA from 1 species
GACGAACCGUGCGAACGUUGUUCGGAAUAACUGGGCUUAAAGGGCGCGUAGGCGGGCUGCCAAGUUCGGGGUGAAAUCCUCCCGCUCAACGGGAGAACUGCCCCGAAUACUGGCGGUCUCGAGGGAGGUAGGGGCGUGCGGAACUAUGGGUGGAGCGGUGAAAUGCGUUGAUAUCCAUAGGAACUCCGGUGGCGAAGGCGGCACGCUGGACCUCUUCUGACGCUGAGGCGCGAAAGCCAGAGGAGCAAACGGG